rnacentral:rRNA from 1 species
GUCCCGCAAGGGAUGAGUAGAGUGGCAAACGGGUGAGUAACACGUGGGUGACCUGCCUUCGAGCGGGGGAUAACGUCCCGAAAGGGACGCUAAUACCGCAUGACAUCCUGCCUUUGAAGAGGUGGAGAUCAAAGCUGGGGAUCGCAAGACCCAGCACUCGAAGAGGGGCCCGCGCCUGAUUAGCUAGUUGGUGGGGUAACGGCUCACCAAGGCGACGAUCAGUAGCCGGCCUGAGAGGGCGGACGGCCACACUGGGACUGAGACACGGCCCAGACUCCUACGGGAGGCAGCAGUGGGAAUUGUUCGCAAUGGGCGCAAGCCUGACGACGCAACGCCGCGUGGAGGACGAAGACCUUCGGGUCGUAAACUCCUUUCGAUCGAGACGAAUGGCCUUCGGGUGAACAAUCCGGAGGAAUGACGGUACCGAGAGAAGAAGCCCCGGCUAACUCCGUGCCAGCAGCCGCGGUAAUACGGGGGGGGCAAGCGUUGUUCGGAAUUACUGGGCGUGAAGGGCUCGUAGGUGGCCAACUAAGUCAGACGUGAAAUCCCUCGGCUUAACCGGGGAACUGCGUCUGAUACUGGAUGGCUUGAGAUUGGGAGAGGGAUGCGGAAUUCCAGGUGUAGCGGUGAAAUGCGUAGAUAUCUGGAGGAACACCGGUGGCGAAGGCGGCAUCCUGGACCAACACUGACGCUGAGGAGCGAAAGCCAGGGGAGCAAACGGGAUUAGAUACCCCGGUAGUCCUGGCCCUAAACGAUGAAUGCUUGGUGUGGCGGGUAUCGAUCCCUGCCGUGCCGAAGCUAACGCAUUAAGCAUUCCGCCUGGGGAGUACGGUCGC